UUUAGAGUGGCAGCCAUUAUUUUCCACCGCAUCACAACAGACUCGGGAAAAAGAUGACUAACACAGGAAAGCCAGACGGCUACUGGAGGGACCUCUGCAUAAAAUAUGCCCAGGGCCAAAACCGCUUCUCGACUGGCAAACGGCCAGGGGCCAAGAAAUGGAAAAAGGCCUUGGAGAGCAUCGAUGCUUGCCCCCUGCAGAGCCAUAGUGCUAGUAAGGAUCUGUUCGGGAGAAGCCUUCAGUGCUCCUGUGGGUUCCACAAGGUAUGUGAAAUUAUUUUCCCCUGUGGGUUCCACAAGGUAAGUGAGUUAUUUACUAAUUGAUUGUUUACAGGUUUGCUUGUUUUUUCCUCUGGUGGGCUUCAGUGAUUUUGCAGUAAUGCCUGAUGUAUUUUAACAACUGGAGAAAACUAGUAGUGUAGGAUUCUUAGGUGUAUGUAGCAUGGCCCCUCUUUGUGUACCCCCCCCCCCCCAGCCAGCAGAUCUGUCAUCAGGAGCUGGGUCCAGUGAGGCAGGAUGAGUUGAGACAGAGGGAGGGCGAGUCCGAGUCGGCUCAGAGGCAGGAAAAGGAGACACGGAUGCAGGGGGAGCCCGGUCCCACACAGAGGCAGAGGCAGGGAGAGGAGACAAGGAGGCAGGGGCAUCAGUGGCAGGACAGGAAGUGCAGUGCUACGGGUGCAACCAGCUUGUGGAGGCAGCACAUUUUUCAGAGCACCUGUCUGACCACCAUACUCAGGAGACGUGUGACACCUGUGGGGCCAAGGUGCAGGGUACUGUUGAUCUUUUGAACCAUAUUCAACAGGUUCACUAUGCAGGAUUCGUUAUGCCAUCAAUGCAAAAGCCAACAGUACAAACACCGAUGCCAACGUCAUCUCUGCUCCCUCCUUCAAAUAGCUGUGCCACGCCACACCACAUUGCAACUCCACCUAAACCAACUCCAGUAGUUUUUAAAGGUUUUCUUCCCGAUAAAUUUCGGAAAGUAAUCCAGGAAGCAGAUCAGGUGUGGAUUGCAAAGUGCCUAUAUGAGCCUACAGGUCAGCUGAAGCAGAAAUUUGAAGCCUGCUGGUUUCACCCCCCACUGGAGCCCAAACCCUCUCGUCCUGAGCCUGGAUGGUACCACCGGCAGAGGCUGUUCAUCUGGGCACCCAUGAGGAUGUGGGGAUUUCCUUAAAAUGCCCAAAAUUUUCGGGAAAAUGAACAGCUCCGGUAUAUAUAUUUUGUCAUUGAAGGAGGAAGCGGACAUAGUCCAGCUAUAUACAGCUCUCCAUGACAUGGACAAGAAGCAAUCAAGCUACACCCAGAAGGCUAGAAAGAAAGGACAGACAUCAGGAGGACCGUGGAGAGCACCGAGGAGGCCGAGUGACUCUGCUCCUGGACAGCAGGCGGCAGAGAGACUAUACAUGACUCACGGCAAAGCAGCCCAGGAUCCCGAACACCACAGGGUCACCACUGCCUCAGACACGCCAAGGAGUUUGAGCAGUCACGCUACAGGCCCAAGGACACGAGGGGGAAAACCCUGCCCAUCCCUCGGUCAAUUGUGAGCAUCUACAGCCAUAUUAGACAGCUGCUGGAGGACAGCAGGUCCAGACGGCGCUGGCUCUGGUGCCGGUGAACAACACCACGGUCUCUGCAUGGCUGCUUAGGAGGGACAAGAGGAAGGACAGGAACAUGCUGCUGCAAGGCAAUGUCCUCCCUCAACAGCUAUACCUGGCCAAGGAUCCUCUCCCUUCAUUAAACACUAUCCCGGCUGCCCCUGUGCAACAUGCACAUGAGGUGAGUACAUUAGGUUUAGGAUUAUCGCGUGAUCUCGUGAUCUCGUGUCAAUACGGCUGGCUCGCAAGGCAGCGCAAAGCGCUACACUGCCGUUACGCGCCCGGUGGGGAUUGACGCAGGGCAGAGUUCACAGCCGUUCCGCGGCGCGUACGUCCCUGGUGGAAAUCAGGCGUUAGGGUAGUAGUGUGGUUAGGGUUAGGGUUUUUGUAUUGAAAGAAGAGAUUGAAAGAGAUUGAAACUUUCCCACGCCCGGGGAUAAACCAUGCCUCCCCAGAGCUGCUGUGUUCGCGACAAUUGGAAGACGGGAUUGAGUGAAGUAGCAGUUGAGCAGUUGGAUGUGGAUGUCCAUGUCCUACAGACUGCAGCCAGACCCUUCUCAAAACCCGACAGAGAACCAAAACAGGUCCUUGCGUUACGUCGACGUGGAACCAUAAUCAGCCCUUAAGGCUGGUGUACGAACACACCAAUAAAUCCCCCCAUUGUUUGGCAUCCCAAAACAUGCACUUGACCAAUCACAACGCUCUAUACUACGGGCCUUAAAGGUCCCAUGGCAUGAAAAUGUCACUUUAUGAGGUUUUCUAACAUUAAUAUGAGUUUCCCUAGCCUCCCUAUGGUCCCCCAGUAGCUAGAAAUGGCAUAAGGUGCAAAACGAGCACUAGGUAUCCUGCUCCGCCUUUGAAAAGUGAAAGCUCAGAUGCUCAGAUUCCGAAUUUGGCCCCAUAUGUCGUCAUAAGGGGCCAAGUUACCUCCCCUUUCUCUGCCUUGCCCACCCAAAGAAUUUGGCCCGCCAAUGAGACAAUGAGUUACGACCGUGCGAGCGCCACGUGUGUGUGUGUGAAUACACACACUGUAACGCAAGUGUUGUACACUUCUUUGUUAUUUGGAUAACCGUUCUUCUGUUUGUGUUAUGGCGCAUAACAUGUCGGUUUUUUGACGUCUGUUAUUUCCACAACGAGACUCUAGUUGGGGUUAUCUCAGCCAUGGUUGAGAUAACCCCAGAAGUUCAUGAACCACGACAUGGGAGAAAUGGAUUGUUGCCCGCGGUUGUCUCCCUCCGGAUAUAUGUUGAGUGAUUUUGUGCUACUUUCCGUAAAAGCGAACGGUGGAAUAAAUAUCUGUGAUAGGGGGCCAUGGUCAGACAUAAUAGUCUGUGGUCAUAUGCAUGUUAUGAUUUUGUGAUUAUAAACAACCAAUGGGGGGAGUGGAUGGGACUCUACAUGAUGUUACAUUUUUCUUCGUAGAGGUAUUUGGUGUGUUUUUUUUUUUUUUAUCUUUUAGUUAAACCUAUAUGUGUGCCUUUUUGGAUCAAUGGUUGAUGAUUGCAUGACCUAUUUUUGAUUACUGUUUUCCUAAAUGUUGCAUGAGGUAUUUUUGAUUAUUAAUUUAGUGAUGAUUGUGUGACUACUAAUUUAGUGACGAUUGUGUGACUACUAAUUUAGUGAUGAUUGUAUGACAUGGUGGUUGGAUGUCUACUGCUUAUUUGUUGAGUGAGGCUUGUAGCCCACUGUGUAUUCCAUGUGACCCUCCGGACUGCCUGAUUGUGCGGGUUGGUUGGUGGUUUUGAUGAUUGUUGCAUGGUAAUGUAGCCAUGAUAUUUUUCUGUUUUGCUUUAUACUUUUAUACUAUUAUACUAUUAUCCUCAUCCUCAUCCUCAUCCUCAUCCGCUUAGCCGGGGUCUGGUCGCGGGGGGAGCAGCUCAAGCAGGGGGCCCCAGACUUCCCUUUCCCGGGCCACAUUGACCAGCUCUGACGGGGGGAUCCCGAGGCGUUCCCAGGCCAGUGUUGAGAUAUAAUCUCUCCACCUAGUCCUGGGUCUUCCCCGAGGUCUCCUCCCCACUGGACGUGCCUGAAACACCUCCCAAGGGAGGCGCCCAGUGGGCAUCAUUGCCAGAUGCCCGAACCACCUCAGCUGACUCCUUUCUAAGUAAAGGAGCAGCGGCUCUAAUCCGAGUUCCUCACGGAUGGCUGAGCUUCUCACCCUAUCCCUAAGGGAGACGCCAGCCACCCUUCUGAGAAAACUCAUCUCGGCCGCUUGUACCCGCGAUCUCGUCCUUUCGGUCAUCACCCAACCCUCAUGACCAUAGGUGAGGAUAGGAACGAAGAUCGACCGGUUGAUCGAGAGCUUUGCCUUGCAGCUCAGCUCUCUUUUCGUAACAACGGUGCGGUAAAGCGAACGCAAUACCGCCCCCGCUGCUCCGAUUCUCCGGCCAAUCUCACGCUCCAUAGUACCCUCACUCGCGAACAAGACCCCGAGGUACUUGAACUCCUUCACUUGGGCUAAGGACUCAUUUCCUACCCGGAGUAAGCAAUCCACCGGUUUCCUGCUAAGAGUCAUGGCCUCAGAUUUAGCGGUGCUGAUCCUCAUCCCAGCCGCUUCACACUCGGCCGCCAGCCGAUCCAGUGAGUGCUGAAGGUCACAGGCCGAUGAUCCAAUGAGGAUCCAAUAUUAUACUUCUAUACUUUUAUAUUGCUUGUAGGAUGGUCAUCUGAGAUGACCAAGGAGGGAAUUGUAACAUAAUUCACACACUCAUACCAAGGCAACAUAUGCCCUUGCCAAUAAAAAGAGGCUUUUUCCCAUGCUAAGGAGGGAUCCGGAGCCUAGGGAGGCGUCCAGCUCAUAAAGGAGGCCAUUCAUCAUGUGUCAAUUCUAGAGAUACGAGCAGUCAAGAUGUUCGAGAGACCCAGACGCUCAAGGCCACAAGAACAAGUGUAAUUCCCACACAUUGCCACAAACAAAGUUGCAAUGCCAACACAUAGCCGCAAGGGACAGCAUAAAGACACAUACGGGUAUCCAGGGGGGCGGGAGUUCAGCACCAUGCUUAGCCAAUCAGAGCACAUAACUGAGUCCACGCCUGCCCAGUAGAUAAGUCACAACACAUAGCCCAGGGGCUACAACGCUCCAGGUAACGCAUCCUUCAGAUGCCCUACUAAUUGUAUCUCCACGCGUGCCCAAACUGCCCAUACAAUUCCCCUCCUUUUGCUUCAUAGAGACUGGGCAAAAACAUUACCAAAUAAUGUGAGUUAAAGCGAUCCUGAUUCGGCAGACUUUUUCCAAAAAGAACAAGGCAGCCUCGGCAUUGUGCACGUUCCAAAAGUCCGUGGGCCUCCCCCCUGCUCAUGGUGACCAAGGCUGAUGGCGGUUGGCGUCCCUGUAGUGAUUUCCGUCGCCUAAACAACGCCACCACCGCCGACCGGUACCCAGCGCCGCACAUUAAGGACGUGUCCGCCCACCUGGCCGGUGCCGCCAUCUUUGAAGGUGGACCUGGUGCGCGGUUACCAUCAGGUGCCGUCGGCCCGCAGGAUGUGCCCAAGACGGCAGUCAUCACACCCUUUGGCCUCAAGGGUGCGGCGCAGACGUUUCAGCGCCUCAUGGACCCUGUGCUGCGGGACAUGCCGUUCCUGUUUGUUUACUUGCACGUCAUUCUCAUGGCCAGUGCGUCAGCAGACGACCGCCUGACGCGUCUACAGCAGCUGUUCGGUCGGCUCAGUGAGCAUGGUCUCAUCGUCAACCUGGCCGAAUGCGAGUUGGGCCGGUCAUCCAUCACUUUCCUUGGCCACCAUGUCACCCCGCAGGGGGGCGUUCCCCUCCCUGCCAAGGUGGACGCUGUCGCCAGUUGCCCACGCCCGCCCACUGUGAAGUCUCUGCAGGAGUUCCUGGGCAUGGUGUAGUUCUACAACCGUUUCCUCCCCCAUGCGGCCCAACUCAUGAGACCCUUGUACGACGCCUUGCGGGGCAGGAGGCCGGCGGACAUGUUGGAUUGGUCCCCAGAAAUGAACCUCUGCGACGUCUCCACCGGCCAACCGUGUCCCAUGGUACCUGCUGGUAGGGCUGGGCGAUAAACCGAUUUUAUCGAUUAACUUGAGUGUGUAGCUCACGUCGACUUGUUUAAAUGAAAAUCGGUUUUCUCUUCAACAUCCGCCAACGCUUCCCUCUCAGCUCCCUUAGUUCGGAAUGGGCUCAGCCCUCCCCCCGCACAGAGCGCGCAUUUACCAAAGUGAUACACAAACAUGAGAGCGAGUGUGACAAGUUGUAUGCAACAAUUUAUUCAUAUAUGUAUAAUCUAUUUUGAGGUAAACAUAAUUCAUUUGAAAUAUAUCUGUGUGGUUUAAUAAUUCGUCGAUCUGUUGGUAAUUCGUCGAUCUGUUGGUAAUGCCUCGGGGCUCCAGUAGGGGGAUCGCGCUCCUUUUCCUCAUUCAAUACAGAAGAGUGAAGGAAAGAGCUGCGUGUGUGUCUUUCUCAUUCUUCUCCCAUUACUAUUCCCUUUUUUUUUAAGGCAAUUACUGUUUGCAAAACACUGUAUAUUUAUGAACACAUGUUGAAAGUUUGAAUGUUAUGUUGGCCAUUUAUUAGAACUACCUCUUAUCAUUAGUAAUAUUUGAUGUUUACAGAAAUAUUUUAUUUUAUAUUUUAUAUAUUUUACAUUUUAUGUAAUGUUACAGGUUACACUGUUUACAAUGGCAGGGCCUGCCAUAAUGCCUUUUUAUGUAAAUCGAUUUAAAUCGGAAAUCUGAUUUUUUGUGAAAAAAUCAGGGAUUCUUUUUAGGCCAUAUCGCCCAGCCCUACCUGCUGGCUGGAGGUGUAAGUUCUUUGACACUAUCCACGGCCUUUCCCACCCGGGGGUGAAGGCCUCUGCCAAGCUGGUGGGGGCCAAUUUCGUCUGGCCGGGCCUGCGGAGGGACGUCAGGGCCUGGGCUGCUGUCUAUGUGGCGUACCAGCGUGCAAAGGUGACUCGUCAUACUAAGGCCCCCUUGGCAACCCUUCAAAGUGUCAGAGAGACGUUUUGACCAUGUGAAUGUAGACCUGGUGGGCCCAUUUUCCCCCUCCCGUGGUUACACCUACCUCCUCACCAUGGUGGACAGGACCACCAGGUGGCCAGAAGUGGUUCCCCUGUCCUCCACUACAUCAGCGGAAGUUGUCCGGGCGAUCAUUAUGGCUUGGGUGGCCCGUUUCGGCACACCGUCCGACCUUUCCUCGGACCGGGGUCCGAAGUUCACAUCGUAGCGGUCUGCGGUCGCCGGGGUCCUGGGGGUGAAGGUCCACCGUACCACAGCCUAUAACCCACAGAGCAACGGACUUUGCGAGCGGUUUCAUCGUGACAUGAAGGCCGCGCUCAGGGCCAGCCUUACGGGCAGUGACUGGGCUGACCGCCUCCCAUGGGUUACGCUGGGCCUUCGCUCUGCCCCCAAGGAAGAUCUUCAAGCCUCAUCGGCCAAGCUGGUGUACGGCCAGCCCCUGUGCGUCCCGGGGGAGUUUCUUCCAGAUGCCACGGCCCCGUGAUCAGUUUCACCCUUUUGUGAUUGGCUGAAAACGAGGGAGGCAUCUGAUUGGCUACAGAGAGUUCCUUGUUGAAAAAAAUGCAUUUGUGAAUCUAGCGACAUCAGGAGAGUCUCAAAAAUCCACACAUAAAUACAGACCAGUUCACACAAAAAUGCAAAUAAGUUCCCAAAUUAAAAACGUCUUGUAAAUACAAGUUUAACAGUUUGUAUAUAAAUGUAACAACAUCCAAAUACAUUGUGAUGAAAAUUGCAAAUAUUUUUUUAAUUAAUAUAUUUAUGGAUUUAUAUUACAUUUAUUUAAAACAAGGUACAUUUGUGUGUGGAUCAGAAAUGUGUUUAUGAAACUUAUUUUUGUUUAUGGAUUUAUUUUACAUUUAUACAUACCGAUAUCCAUUUAUGUGUGCAUUGAAAUGUAUUUGUGAGAAGAGAGUAAUUUAUAUAUAAAUCACAAAAUACAUUUGUGAAUCCUUCUCUGUGCAUUCAUUAUUAAUGAGAUUGUUCUGACCCUAUACAAUAGCGCCACCUUUGGGUGCAGUACCACAAAUCUGGGUAUAUGGGUAGAGGGGGG
ensembl:lncRNA